AGUGCCUCACCCAUGCCAAGCAAGUGUGCCACCACUGAGUCUCAGCCUCAACCCUCAUUCCCAGCCUUUUAAUUAUUAUUAUUAUUAUUUUUUUAUAUUGAUGAUAAUGCUUUGGUAAUACUGGUAAAAGAAACUAUAGAGAGAAAAAGAAAAACUCCCCAAAUAACCAGAAGUUGUUUUCACAUAGAGGCUACCUGACUAUCUUAAGCCUCUGCUCUGGAUUCGUCCGUCAUUCUGCAGCAGCCCUCAUCCAUCAGGUGUUAAGAACCAGAGAUGGCAGAGGAAGGGAGGGGACCCUGUGUCUAGCCUAAGGAGGUGAGCUGCAGGACCAAAGACAGGGGUCCAGUGGCAGCAGUGUGCUGGCAACAGGGCGAUGUCAGCAGGAAUAGCCUAGAGUCACUGCUUCCCUGCAAGGACCUCCGUGCUCCCUGUGCCUUGUCACUCUCGAGUCCUCCAGUGACUCCAGGAGGCGUGGGAAAAGCACUCACGUUGCACUGACGGGGAGACUGAGGCCUUGAGAACAUGCCCCCUCUGCUCAGCAGAGGGGGCAGAGCCAGGAUUUGAACCUAAAGCCUGAGAGACCUGUUGGGGCCUCGUGGACAAGGAGGCUACACCCAGCUGCCAGGGGAGGGACUUCUGGGCUCUGUAGUUCCUACGAGAACUGUUGGACCUGUUGACAAGAUAGAAGCCCCAUUCUUUCUGCUUGGAGGCUGGUCCCAGAAUUGGGAGAGUUGAG
rnacentral:lncRNA from 1 species